UUCUCGGUUGGCGCACGCCCGGGGCGGCGGCGCUGGAGGAGCUCGAGACGGAGCCUAGUUAUGUCUGGGAGGCGAACGCGGUCCGGAGGAGCCGCUCAGCGCUCCGGUGAGCGGAGGGCGCGCGGGAGACGUGAGGUCGAGCCGUUUGGGGGACGCAGUCCCGUGAAAGAUGGCCCUUCCCUCCCGCUGCCGCCGCCGGAGGAGGCACCCUUAAAAGGGCUUGUUUGGGAAUCUUCUCGCUGUCUCUAGAAUCUGUUCUCUGGACUCUAAGGUCUAGAGUCCUCCUCUACCACUUAACUUUUUUCUCUUUCCAGGGCCAAGGGCCCCAUCUCCCACUAAGCCUCUGCGGAGGUCCCAGCGGAAAUCAGGCUCUGAACUCCCAAGCAUCCUCCCUGAAAUCUGGCCGAAGGUGAGCCCCAGAUUUCUCACUUCCUCCCCUUGUGGCCCCUCACCUAAUUUGAGCUCACGUUCAUCCCUCUUCUCCAGACACCCAGUGCGGCUGCAAUCAGAAAGCCCAUCGUCUUAAAGAGGAUCGUGGCCCAUGCUGUAGAGGUCCCAGCUGUCCAAUCACCUCGCAGGAGCCCUAGGAUUGCCUUUUUCUUGGAGAAAGAAAACGAGCCCCCUGGCAGGGAGCUUACUAAGGAGGACCUUUUCAAGACACACAGCGUCCCUGCCACCCCCACCAGCACUCCUGUGCCGAACCCUGAGGCCGAGUCCAGCUCCAAGGAAGAAGAGCUGGAUGCCAGAGACUUGGAAAUGUCUAAGAAAGUCAGGCGUUCCUACAGCCGGCUAGAGACCCUGGGCUCUGCCUCUACCUCCACCCCAGGCCGCCGGUCCUUCUUUGGCUUCGAGGGGCUGCUGGGGGCAGAAGACUUGUCCGGAGUCUCGCCAGUGGUGUGCUCCAAAUUCACCGAGGUCCCCAGGGUCUGUGCAAAGCCCUGGGCCCCAGACAUGACUCUCCCUGGAAUCUCCCCACCACCCGAGAAACAGAAACGUAAGAAGAAGAAGAUGCCAGAGAUCUUGAAAACGGAGCUGGAUGAGUGGGCUGCGGCCAUGAAUGCCGAGUUUGAAGCUGCUGA
rnacentral:sRNA from 1 species